GGUUCAUUCAAAUUUCUGCCCUAUCAACUUUCGACGGCUGGGUCUUGGCCAGCCAUGGUGACAACGGGUAACGGAGGGUUAGGGCUCGACCCCGGAGAGGGAGCCUGAGAAACGGCUACUACAUCCAAGGAAGGCAGCAGGCGCGCAAAUUACCCAAUCCCGACCGGGGAGGUAGUGACAAUAAAUACUGAUACAGGGCUCUUUUGGGUCUUGUAAUUGGAAUGAGUACAAUUUAAAUCCCUUAACGAGGAACAAUUGGAGGGCAAGUCUGGUGCCAGCAGCCGCGGUAAUUCCAGCUCCAAUAGCGUAUAUUAAAGUUGUUGCAGUUAAAAAGCUCGUAGUUG
rnacentral:rRNA from 1 species